CACUGCUCAAGGAUUUUCCUCUCUCACCUGGGAACAAGAGGCAAAGAUCAGCUUUCACUUUCAUGUAACUUGAGCUGCCAGUAGUCAAGCAUCCACUUUAAGCCCUUUAGACUUCAAGAAAGGGAGAAGGAGGGGGCACCUCCAGGGUGUCUUAGUAAAGAAAGAACCCAGAGCUCUGGAUCUGGGUUGCCUCCCUCCUUGGAAGUGCCCAGACAGCCACCUUACAGACGGCUGGAGACAUGACAGAACUACCUGUAUUUCAAAAUCCACACCUCUUGCAAAACGCAUAGCUGAAUCACUGGCCCUGACUGUGACGCAGAGUAAGGCUGAGCUGAGAGCUUCAUUUGCAAAACAAUCCUGAUGCAACAUGGCAAAAAUGGAAGGUCAUGUCUUUUACAGCCCAGUAAAGAAGAGAGCUUUGAAACGAAGAAAUACCUUGAGACUUCAGUACUCAUCCAAUUCUGUCCAAAGUCCUGUGCCUGGCAAGGAGUAAACCCAUGCAUCGUUACAGCCUGGGGGCCAACUGACUGAGAAGCAGCAGAAAGAAAAUGACCUGGGGUUCCUGGUAGGCAAGAUGAAUACGAGCCAGCAGGACACCUGUACAGCAAAGAAUGCCAACAGCAUCCUGGGCUGCACAAUGUGGAUUAUUGCCAGCAGGUCCAGGGAGAUGCUGCUCCCUUUUUGCUCAGCACUGCCGAGGUACAUUGGAGUGCUGGGUCCAGUUCUGGGUCAUCCAGUACGGGAGAGAAAUGGACAUACUGGAAUGACUCCAGUGCAGGGUCACAGAGAUGACUAAGGUUUUGGAGCAUCUGUAGUAUGAGGAGAGGCUGAGAGCUGGGGUCAUCCAGCCUGGAGAGGGCUUAGACUCUUGGCAGUGCACAGUGGCAGAACAGAGCACUUAAAAGAGGUGCCUGGACAUGGUCCUGGGCAACUUGUUUGAGGUGGUCCAGCUUGAACAGGAGGGUUGGACCAGAUGACCUCCAGAGAUCCCCUUUCAACCUCAACCACCCUACAGUUCUGUAACUAAAGGCAAUGGGCACAUGCUGAAAUACAGGAAAUCAUGUUUAAACCUAGCUGAAAACAUUUCAUUGUGAAGGUGACUGACCACUGGAACAGGUUGCCCAGAGUCAUGGAGUCUCCACCCAUGGAGAUACUCAAAACCUGACAAGGCAAGGCCCUGAGCAACCCGCUCCAGGUGACCCUGCUGUGAGCAGGGGGCAGAAGAGGCGAUUCCCAGACACUCCUGCCAACCUCAGCCAUUCUGCGUUCUCUGGAAUGUGUUCAAUUGGUGGAACUUCACAACCACUCUUCGCCUUGUGCUGUUUCUCAACACACAUCAGAAGUUGUAUUGGCUUUCAAGACUGACAGACACAUACAGAAAAACAGGCAAGGAAUCUGGGCAGUUGUGUUUUAUUAAUUCUUUUACCUAAAUGAUGAAGUGGCCUACAAGGUGAUUUUUUAAAUCAUUUUCUGUUGAUCAAACUUUCAGUACCAGGUAAGCUGAAGAAUAUGUGAUGCUGUUUCAAAGUAUUCCAAGAUAAACAUGCACAACACUAACUUCUUAAGCACAAUUAUGGAACUAGAGGUGUAUUUAGCAAUGAGAAAACUAGAAAAGCAAAGGAAAAUAAUCCUAAUUAUCAAAGAAAAAAAGAAAUUACAUCUUCAGAGGGUAUCACGUAUGUGCUGCAAAAGAAAUUCCAGAGGAUUCUACAAGAAAUGUUUUCAUACACACUUGCUGACAGAGUACAAUUCAUCACUGAAUUACAGCUUCUCUUGUUUUCAACCAUGGAACAAGUUUUGUUCUUCCCAAAUGUUCUAAAGAAGGAUUUCAGAGCGUGUCAAUGUUCUUCAGUACCUUGUUUGAAAGAUGCUAUGAACCAAAGCUAGACCUUGUAGCUCCAGCUGGACGGAGUGGGAACUUCAGAGCUCGAAAACUGAAGCUACAACUUGUCACAUAGCAGUGUUAGCUUCAAGACCACUGAAGAGUUUACAUUAGCUUCCCUUUUAAAACCGGUUCAAUACUACCAAGCUUCAGCCACAGAACACCAAAUUUACUGCAAAAUGAAAGAAAAGAGCAUUUCUGCAAAGUUUCAAGAAAACUCAAAUUAUUUUAUUCACAAAAGCAUAAGUCAAUAAAAAUAUAGAUAUCCUGAUCA